rnacentral:rRNA from 1 species
GCGUAAAGAGCUCGUAGGCGGUUUGUCACGUCUGCUGUGAAAGCCCGAGGCUCAACCUCGGGUGUGCAGUGGGUACGGGCAGACUAGAGUGCAGUAGGGGAGACUGGAAUUCCUGGUGUAGCGGUGAAAUGCGCAGAUAUCAGGAGGAACACCGAUGGCGAAGGCAGGUCUCUGGGCUGUUACUGACGCUGAGGAGCGAAAGCAUGGGGAGCGAACAGGAUUAGAUACCCUGGUAGUCCAUGCCGUAAACGUUGGGCACUAGGUGUGGGGGACAUUCCACGUUUUCCGCGCCGUAGCUAACGCAUUAAGUGCCCCGCCUGGGGAGUACGGCCGCAAGGCUAAAACUCAAAGGAAUUGACGGGGGCCCGCACAAGCGGCGGAGCAUGCGGAUUAAUUCGAUGCAACGCGAAGAACCUUACCAAGGCUUGACAUGGACCGGAUCGCUGCAGAGAUGCAGUUUCCCUUCGGAGUCGGUUCACAGGUGGUGCAUGGUUGUCGUCAGCUCGUGUCGUGAGAUGUUGGGUUAAGUCCCGCAACGAGCGCAACCCCUAUCCUAUGUUGCCAGCACGUGAUGGUGGGGACUCAUGGGAGACUGCCGGGGUCACCUCGGAGGAAGGUGGGGACGACGUCAAAUCAUCAUGCCCCUUAUGUCUUGGGCUUCACGCAUGCUACAAUGGCCGGUACAAUGGGUUGCGAUACUGUGAGGUGGAGCUAAUCCCUAAAAGCCGGUCUCAGUUCGGAUCGAAGUCUGCAACUCGACUUCGUGAAGUUGGAGUCGCUAG